CAGUUAGGAAAUAAUCAUAAAACACAACCUUACAGGAAAAAAAGGACUUACAAAUUUAAACUACUGAAUCAAAAGCAUAGUGUUUUACAAACUUCUAAAAUAACAAUUAAAAUCUUGGAAUUCAAGUCCCAAACAUGCUUAAUCACUUGCAAAGAUGGGGCUUGCGAAUCAUUUGUUCACAGUUCCUUCUAAUAAUCAGACUCUAAUUCACAUCUAAACAAUGUCAUUUGGCAGGUUCAUCAUACUUUGAUUACUGUGGCAAGACGUUUCCUCAAAUUGCACCACACAAAGAUGAUGCCGUUGCAGCAGAACCCAGAAUAGAUGCAGCGACACCAACAGAGAGGAACCACCAGAGAGAAGAUAAAAAUGCACGAGCCAUAUAUGACCUGAAUAGAGAAACUGCUGCUUCAUCUGCACCACGCAAGGAGAAUUACAACCAUAAAAUGGAAGUAAGCCUUGAUUUUGAUCUGAAUAAAACACCUCAACCAAAAGCCAGAAGAAGAAAGCACAGGCCCAAGGUCAUAAAAGAAGACAAACCAAAACGUGCUACCAAAAAAGUUCAAUCGAAAGAGAACCAAACUGACAAGAAAGCAAAAAGGAAAGGAUUGAACACAACUUCUACUCCACAAACAGAAGUGACAGGAAAAUGGACAACACCAUUGACGCCUGAAUCAGUCACAAAGACAUGUAGAAGGUCCUUGAAUUUCGAUACCAGGGAACAAGCAAGAGAUGGCAAUUCCAGACAUAAAGAAACCAUGCUCUUCGCCAAAGCAAGCAGCUCAAGGAAUUGGAUGGCUGAUUGUAAUGGACUUCAAGAGUGUGCACAAAUACUAUCAAAUAACUCCAAUAGCAGAGACUGUUUGAGCACAGGAUGUGGAUUACAAGCUGUUGGUUCAAAGAGAAAACAACCUGGUAUUGAACAGGCAGAUAACGGCAACAUCAAUCUGAUAGGAGCACAAUAUAAUGCUAUGCAAGCAUACUGCCUAGACUACGGUGUUCAAUUUCCAAAUGUUCAGAAGAAAAGGAGAACUGAAAAUGGGAGAAUUUCGAAGACACCACGUAAAUCUUCUGUGACUGACCUAAAAGAUGUACGACUGGCAACUUUCGUAUCACAUCCUUAUGUGUCAAGUCACAACAGCUGGUAUUCUGGUUCAGAAUAUAAUGCAGCAGGACUCCCAGAAAGAGCUAUUCAUGAUAAACUUCAACCCCUUGAGUGCACCUUGUCUUUAGGGCAGAAGAGGCCGACCAAAAGAAGAUCAAAAACUCAUGCCGGUCCAGCACAUACUAGAAAGCAAACAUGUAGCUCUGACAGACGAACAUUUGGAGAUCCAGAAGGACCACAGACAUGCACCGAUGCUUUAAUUGCAGAUUUGCGAGGAUCGGUCACAAAAAAGAAACGAACAAAAACUAGAAGAAUUCGUGUCCGUUCAUCAUCUUCCUGCAAAAAUGAAAGACAGCACAACACAUUAGGUAUUUCAACUUUAAUUUCCUAUUCUUUUUCUGAAUAACAUUAUGAUUGUUAUAGAGAAAGCAAUUCUACCAUGCAAUCUGACUUAUUACCUGAAUUGAUUGAUUUGAUGUUGCAUGUGUAGACAAAUGGAAAAACAUACGGACUGAGGACGAUUUAAUAGAGCUAUUUAGAUUCCUGAACAUCGAUGGAGAGAUGCAGAAUAUGCUUGUUCCUUAUAACCAAAAUGGCACCAUUGUUCCACACGAAGAAGAAGAAGAAGAAGAAGAAGAAGAAAAGAAAAAACGACCUAAAGUUGAUCUUGAUGGGGAGACUGAGAGAAUCUGGAACCUUUUACUUGUCGAUAUCAACAGUAGUGGGAUUGAUGGAAGUGAUCCCGAUACGGUCAAAUGGUGGAAAGAAGAACGAGAAGUGUUCCGUGGACGAGCAGACUCAUUCAUUGCAAGGAUGCAUCUGGUACAAGGUAUGAAUUAUACAUUUUCAUGAAAAUCUAAGCACUAUUCACACAACAGACAAAUAUCCCCUUUAUUUGUGCUUGAGGUGGAAAAAGUGAGAACACCAUAGACUAGGAAGAUAGCAACACACACACACAUAUAUAUGAACACACCAAGCACUAUACAGAAAACCAAGUAGGAUUCAAAGGAACUCUAAGAAAUUCAAAUGAGAACAGUAAUAAUAUUAAUAAAUAAUUUGGAUUUGUCAAGAUUAGCACUACUCACACAACUGACAAAUUUCUACAAUGAAGAAAAAAAGAGAUUAGCUUAUGUAGUUAAAAAACCAGAUUUUGAAAAGAUUAGCCAUGAAAAAGCUUCUAUAAAUUAGUGUGCGUAAAAAGCUUAUUUAUAAUUUCUUCUAAAAAUGUUUUAAACUAAGUUUAACCACAAAGAACAUUUAUAAAAAAAAGGCAAGUCAAAGUAGGACACUCAAUGAAGUACUAUUUCCUACAACACAGCGGACAAUUUUAAUCAAGUGCUAAAGCAAAAAUACAUCACACUAAAUAAAGAAAUUCUUUCCUCUGAAGUUGCAGUUAAUCGGCAAGUUAUCAAAAACAAAAUAUUCACAAGUAAACUCAUUCAUUCUGCAUAUUCAGUAACACAGUUCCAGGACUAAUAUUAUAACACAAACAACAGGAGACAGGCGCUUUUCGAUGUGGAAGGGAUCUGUUGUGGAUUCUGUUGUCGGAGUUUUCCUCACUCAAAAUGUUUCAGACCAUCUUUCCAGGUAUAAAUCAUGCAAGCUUAAUUACUGAGAAAUAUACAAUUAAAACAAACAACACGUUUAUUUUUCCCCUUGUUGGCAGUUCUGCAUUCAUGUCCCUCGCUGCUCGAUAUCCUCUGAAGUCAACCAGUACAUUCCAGAAGGAAAGCACAUGUUCGAUGGUCAAUGAACCACAAGUGUGCAUUGUGGAGGAGCCAGUAGAAAAUGGAAAUCGGGAUAGGAAAAUAUUGGAUCAAUCCAUUUGUGAAAUGAAUUCUAAGACAAUGGACAUCAUCGAAAAUUAUGAAGAAAGAGAAGGUGUAGACAGCAAUGUUUCCUGCAGAACUAAUGGCAGCGUAAUUUGUGUAGCAGAUGAAUCAAACAGCAACAUGUUGGAAUCGGAAUCGGCUCAAAGACGUGGCAGUGAACAUAGCCCAGUGGAAAGUGGAACAAUUAGUGGUAUGACUGAGGAAGGGCAAGAAAGUUUAUGUCAUGUGAGUGUUAGGAAAGAGUUAAAUAAUGUAUUUCCAUCCCAAUUAUCUGGUGCUACAUUUCAAACAUCAGGAGAUUUUUCAAUUGAUCAAAAUACUGAAAAGAUAGGAUCAUUCUCAGAUAGCAACUCAGAAAUAGAAGACCUGCCAAGCACAGCCCAGUUCAAUAUUUAUCAUAGCGGGACUUCAUUCAGAGAACUUUUAGAAAUGGCAAGUUCAACCAUGUUGCAUGAAGUUAAUAGUCAAAGAGACAAAUCAACUGAGAACUUUAGAGACGCAUGUGAUCAGUCCAUAGACUUGAACCAUGACAACCAAGUAGGAAACUUGGAAAAAUCAGAUGUUACUCUUACUCGAGACACUUUUGAAACACCCAUCACCAAGGAAUAUGCUUUGGAAGCAACCCCAAACUCGGGAGUGCUUGAAGUUAACUGCUAUGAUCCUCUAAAAAUAGAAGUCCCAUCAAGUGAUUCCUCAAAGAAUAAAGGUGAGAAUGAUAAGAGGCAUAGUUUUCGAACAGAUUCCAACUCCAAAGCUGCAUUUGUCAAUUCUCAUGGUAUGAUAUCUCAACUUCAUUCCUUGCAAGAAAUUAACCAUGAACAGCAUAAUGUUUUUAUCAUUUCAGGACAAACUCAGGAUCCCAUGCAGAAAGCAAGAGAUCAAAAAUUUGGUGAUCACAAGAAUGAAAAGAAGAAAAAAAACAGCAAAAAAAAUAGUAAGAAGGAACCUGCCCCAAAGAAAGCUGCCCCAAAAAAAGCUGCCCCAAAGAAAGCUGCCCCAAAAAAGGCUGCCCCAAAAAAAGCUGCCCCAAAAAAACUAAAAAGCGAGAAAGAGGAAAAUAACUUUGAUUGGGAUAGUUUAAGAAUACAAGCACAGGCUCGGGCAGGGAAGAGAGAAAAGACCGAAAACACCAUGGACUCUGCGGACUGGGAUGCUGUAAGACGUGCAGAUCUCAGUGAAAUUUCCAAAAUAAUCAGAGAAAGGGGCAUGAACAACCUGCUGGCUGAUCGUAUUAAGGUAGAAUCCAAGAUUGUGAAGUGCAUUUGUCAGCAUUUAUCAGAAAGAGAAAAACUUAAAAACAGAUUAUGUCAAAUGAAUUACUAUGCAGGGUUUCCUCAAUAGAAUGUUUGACAAGCACGGGAGCCUUGAUCUGGAGUGGCUGAGAGAUGUUCCACCUGACCAAGCAAAGUAAGUCUAGAUAUUAUCAAACUACUUUGAAAUCAUAUUUCCGUGUUGGUAGGGUUGGCAAAACCAACAUACGAGCCCCUCUAUUCACUAGCAACACAUGUCAUGCACACUCACAUGCAAGCACAAAAAAUGCAUAAUGUUAAUUCAAUUUAUACGUCCAGAGAAUUCUUGCUCAGCAUAAAGGGAUUGGGAUUGAAAAGUGUGGAGUGCGUUCGACUCUUAACACUACACCAUCUUGCUUUCCCGGUAAGUUGAGAACAUUAAUCCAAAAUUAGAGGAUUAAGAAAUAUAUUUUGACAGUUUGUUGCCUAAAUAGGUGGACACAAAUGUUGGACGCAUAGCAGUACGUUUGGGAUGGGUACCUCUCCGGCCACUGCCAGAGUCACUACAGUUGCAUCUUCUAGAACUGUGAGUUCCACAAUAAUAAAUAGCAAGAUGCAGUUAUUCAGUCAGUAAAAAAAAGAGCUAACCUGACAUCAUUGUCCUGUAUAGGUACCCAGUGUUGGAGUCUGUACAAAAAUAUCUCUGGCCUCGACUCUGCAAGCUAGACCAAAGAACAUUGUAAUGAUUAUUUUCAAUUGGAAGUUAUACAUUAAAUUAUAUAAGUAGCUUCUAGUUGCUGAUUUAAUUUUUGAACAAUGGCCAACAUAAACAUGUAUUUAGUAUCAUGAGAUCAUGCUUAGACGCAUCAUGUCAUACUCACCUAAUUAUCUUGCAUUUCAUAAUUAGAUGAUAGCGUUAAAAUGUUCUCCAUCAUAAUUAAACUCUCAUUGAUUUCUUUAAUGUUUUGUUGCUCUUUACUGAAGGUAUGAGCUGCAUUACCAGCUGAUUACAUUUGGAAAGGUAAACUACAUUUUCUCAUACAUUAGAGAGAUGAUCCUACUUAAGUGAAACCCUGUUAUGACUGGAAAGGAAACUAAAAUCAAUUCAUGCAGGUUUUCUGUACUAAAAAACAACCAAAUUGCAAUGCAUGCCCGAUGAGAGGGGAAUGCAAACACUUUGCAAGUGCCUUUGCAAGGUAUGAUAAAUUAAGAUUUCUUGCAGUUAUUCAUACAAAAGGGUGGACUAUUGUUAUGCACCACACCGUCACUCAGACACAGAAAAAUUGUGAAGCUAAAAGACAACAUUACGUAGUUCAUAAAUCCAGUAUUAUCAUGCUCAAUGCCUCACUGUAUAGACCACACUUAGUAUAUUUUAUCUAUAAAAUGAAGAAAAAAAAAUUGUUGUCAGUACCACUUUCAAGAUUAAAUGCAUGCAUCGCAUGAUAUGAAUUAUGAUAAACUAACUUACAAGUAAACAAUGUUAAAUAUUGCAGUGCAAGACUUGCCCUGCCAGGACCAGAGGAGAAGAGAAUAGUAAUCCCGUCCGGAAACAAUGCAAACGAGCAGAACCCACCACUAGUUAUCAAUCAACCGCUCUUGUUUCUCCCUGGGAACACUAUUCAAGACGAACUUCAACAAACAAAAGUGAUCACACAACCUAUUGUAGAAAUGCCAGCAUCUCCAGAGCCCGAAUGCUCCCAACCGUCAGAAAUUAUGGAUAUAGAGGACGCCUUCAA
rnacentral:lncRNA from 1 species